AUUGAACGCUGGCGGCAUGCCUUACACAUGCAAGUCGAACGGUAACGGGUCCUUCGGGAUGCCGACGAGUGGCGAACGGGUGAGUAAUAUAUCGGAACGUGCCCAGUAGUGGGGGAUAACUGCUCGAAAGAGCAGCUAAUACCGCAUACGACCUGAGGGUGAAAGGGGGGAUCGCAAGACCUCUCGCUAUUGGAGCGGCCGAUAUCAGAUUAGCUAGUUGGUGGGGUAAAGGCCUACCAAGGCAACGAUCUGUAGUUGGUCUGAGAGGACGACCAGCCACACUGGGACUGAGACACGGCCCAGACUCCUACGGGAGGCAGCAGUGGGGAAUUUUGGACAAUGGGCGCAAGCCUGAUCCAGCAAUGCCGCGUGCAGGAAGAAGGCCUUCGGGUUGUAAACUGCUUUUGUCAGGGAAGAAAUCUUCUGGGCUAAUACCCCGGGAGGAUGACGGUACCUGAAGAAUAAGCACCGGCUAACUACGUG
rnacentral:rRNA from 1 species